GAAGCAGUCAACUCCUAUGUAGAUCUCCGCCGGCUUCUUCCAUUCCAUUUGUCCACCCCGACUCCCCUGAUCUCGCCAUCCUCCUCUCACAGAUCCUCCUCCCUCCCCAUGCACGGCCGCUGCCACCUCCCCACCCAUGGCCAUCUGCCCCUCUGCGUCCCGCAGCCGCCGUGACGAUAGCCUCGUCCCCAGAGGCGGGGACUUCCCUGAAGGCGAACCUAGCGGCGGUACAGUUGAUGUGGGUCGGGCGGCGGUCAGAUCUGCCACAGCCAGAACCGGCGUCCUCUUCCUCCCUAUCCUGCUUCCUCCCAUGACUGAGAAGAGGGCUUUGUCAAGUAUCCCAUGACGGAGAUCAACAUGGGAGGCUGCUUCCUCCGAUCCCAGAUCGACCAUCCGUCGAUGGAGGCCAUGAGAGCCACGUGGGCACACACAUGGCUGCGUUUCAAGCUGCAGCUCGAUAGAUGCAGGGACGCCGCCAUGGAAUAGUCAGGGUCUCCCUUCUCCCGUUUCGUCUGAUCUGCCACUGCCAGCCAUUUCCGGCGCCCCUGCACCACGACGGUGAAGGGCACAAUGAUGAAUUCAACGCAAGAUCCUGCUGGUGAUCCAACAGAUGGGAGCCCAAAAGACGCAAACACAUCUGAUGCCUAAGAAAAGGACUGGCAAAUAAAAUAGGAAUCCAAACUUGCAAAAUUCUCUUUUACAGACCGCUAGUACUACUGGGAUUCUAGGUACAAGGCACAAAGUAAUUGCUCCAAAUACGCUCAUACAAGUUGCAAAAAUGAAUUCUCGAAUGUUUCGACCAAUGGUAAGUCACAGGCUUGGUUUGUCUUCAUGUUGGCCUUUGUUUGAUACAAUGGUAAGUCACAAGCUUGGUUUGUCUUCAUGUUGGCCUUUAUUUGAUACGUAAAUGGCCUUCAUAAUGUGCAAUCAUCUACUUGCUUACAUUAUUGUACUUUUUUGUUGCUGAAGCACAUACAAGCCAGAAAUAGAACAUUUUUCUCACCAUUAGAAAUUGUGAACUUGCGCCAGCAUGUAGUUGUUUCAGAGAAGUUUAGUUUGAUUAAUUUAGAUAAUUAUUCUUGUGUUUUAACUACAAAUUCUUUUGUGAAAUUAUCCAAUUCUUUUUGCAUAGCACCUAAUUGUUGAUGUAGUACAACAGACACAAGAAUUUGCUUGCUAGCUGUUGUGGUCAUGACAAUUCGUGAGGAAGAUACGCAUGCAUGCACGAAUAUAGUAAUUAUACAAUUGUCAUGAUAGUGGUUAUAUCUUUCUGCUAAUUAGUCAUUGUGUUGUUUCUUUAUUUUCGUGACUAAGGCCUAGUUUGGCAACACAGUUUUUCCAAAACCAUGGUAAUGAAAACCUCGGUAUUCCAAUGUGUGGGCAAUGAAUACUUCGGUUUCUAAAAACCGCAGUUUUUCUCAGUUUAAGCAAAACUAUAGAGAUGUUUGGCAAGUGCAGUUUUUCUUAGUUUCUUGGUUUUGACCACUCAUUGCAUGGAUAAUCCUAGAUACAGCUAGCUGAACCAAAUUGAGCUACAACAAAGGAGUUAUACAACGACGUGAUCAGCUUGUGCUAAUUAACGGCUGGUGCAUGCGGCAUGCCGAUAGCCUUGUCAUGCACGCGAACAUCCUCUAGAUGCUAGGAUAUGUUGUUGAAUAAUCUUGUAUCUCUGGCCACAUGGAAUCGAUCAGCUAGCUAGCUUAGACUGUUGUGUAUAACUUUGCUCAUUAUCAAUCGAUCUACUCCAGGGUCUAAGCCUUCGCUAAAUCUUUUGUACGUGUACACACACCAUCCGAUAGGACUGAACCUCUAGUACUAUCUAAUGUAUAGGCUGCUUCUUGUUGCACUAGAACAAUAGCCAACGAUUGAAGACAUCAGCGACAGAGUAGUCAAGCUUCCUAGGUGGUAAUCUUAAUUUUGUGGCUGCGGAAGAGAUGGGUGAGGAGGACCGGAAGAAGAUGGACUCGAGCAAGUGUUUCUUAGUUUACAAAAAAGAGGUUGAGACCUCUUUUUUAGAUACAGCAAAAAAACCAUGGUUUUAGAUAUACCACGGUUUGUAAAACUAAAGUAUUUGUCGAAACCAAACACGUCAAAGUAUUUAAAACUGGGGUUUCUCCAAAAACCAUGGUAUUCUCUUAAAACUUCAAAAAUACUGAGUAGCCAAACACAGCAUAAGUAUUUUCUAUUUUCAAUUAACUUGAGCUAAAUAAAUUUCUGAUUUCUUCAUAACAGGAUCCAAAGAUUUAGCUGGAAUGGACUCUAGACCAUGGACAAUUUAAUAUUCGCUCUUAAUUAGGAUGGCACAUUCAGUAUGUUAAAUGCAUGCUAAAUUAUAUUACGGUUUAUUGUGAUGGAUAUUGGCUAUGCAAACUUUGAUGUUUGAUGAAUCUACAUCAUAUAUGCAUUAUUUGAAUCAUGUAAUUGAAUGCCAGUAUUUUUUUUGUUACAGUAGGCUAUUACCACAAGCUA